GUGCCAGCCGCCGCGGUAAUACCGGCAGCCCGAGUGAUGGCCGAUCUUAUUGGGCCUAAAGCGUCCGUAGCUGGCCGCGCAAGUCCGUCGGGAAAUCCAUCAGCCCAACUGAUGGGCGUCCGGCGGAAACUGCACGGCUUGGGACCGGAAGGCUCGAAGGGUACGUUCGGGGUAGGAGUGAAAUCCCAUAAUCCCGCACGGACCGCCGAUGGCGAAAGCACGUCGGGAAGACGGAUCCGACGGUGAGGGACGAAAGCCAGGGUCUCCAACCGGAUUAGAUACCCCGGUAGUCC
rnacentral:rRNA from 1 species